rnacentral:lncRNA from 1 species
UGAUUCACGUUUGUGAAAUGCUUUGAGACCCAUAGCAGUGUCUGAGCAUGGUCCUGGCCCUGGGUGGGGAAGAGGCUGGGCUGUGGGUGACAGAACCCGGUGACAGCAGGCAUCCUUCUCCCUGUCCGACUUAAACCUUUGUUUUAUCAUCACUAGGUCCUGUGGGCUUUCCCCACCUUCACCCGAGAGAGAGUGACAGUCCUACGGGCCCCUGAUUGUUCUUCCUCAGAUCUUUCCUGAUCCCUCCUCCCCAUCUUUUCUCCCCUUUCUUUCAGGUGACAGCAUCAGCACCCCCCAACCCCGCUGCCGCCUCGACACGGGCUUGGCCAGAAACUCCCGACACCAGAAGCGGUCAUCACAGUAGCCCCCUGGGUCCGUGCUGCAGAAUAUUUUGCUGUAUGGUGUUUUGUUAAGCACUUACUAGGUGCCAGACACUGUAACAAGCACCGGGGUAGAUAUAUAAGUUAACCAGGUCAGAUGCAGUCACUAUCCCAGAUGGGGCUCACAGUCUUAAUCCUUUUUUUACAGAUGAGGUAACUGAGGUACAGAGAAGAUUGCCCAAGGUCACCCAGCAGACGAGUGGCAGAGCUUGGGUGACAACACAGGAACUCUGACUCCCAGGCCCAUGUGCUUUCCACCGGGCCAAGCUGCUUCUCAGAAUCUAAGCUUCAGCCUCUUACCUGGAAUGGAUCUGACUGCAGUUUCAAGGGAUACGUACCCAGGAUGCAGCAGUCCAGAUAAGACAGCGUGGAUCGCUCAGUGCAAACCAUUACCACAAAACAACUCAAGCAAGCCCGUGCCCUGCUGACGGUAGGACAUACCUUUCUCCUUUUAACCUCUGAUGUCUAAGCAAUGCUGACCUGAGUACCAGGGGACCAAUAAAAACUCCACUGUCACCCACUAAUUUUUCUUGGACACAUUGUGCCAGAGAUUCUCUGUCAAAGAUACUCACACCCGUAGAUAAUAAUAAUAAUGGUGAUGUUUGCUAAGCACUUACUAUGUGCAAAGCACUGUUCUAAGUGCUGGGGGGAUACAAGGUGAUCAGGUUGUCCCAUGUGGGGCUCACAAUUUUAAUCCCCAUUUUACAGAUGAGGUAACGGAGGCACAGAGAAUAAUAAUAAUAAUAAUGUCAGUAUUUGUUAAGCGCUUACUAUGUGCAGAGCACUGUUCUAAGCGCUGGGGUAGAUACAGGGUCAUCAGGUUGUCCCAUGUGAAGCUCACAGUUAAUCCCCAUUUUACAGAUGAGGUAACUGAAGCACAGAGAAGUUAAGUGACUUGCCCACAGUCACACAGCUGACAAGCGGCUGAGCCGGGAGUCGAACCCAUGACCUCUGACUCCGAAGCCCAGGUUCUUUCCACUGAGCCAUGUUGCAGUGAAG